UAUGUUUAUACAACAACAACAGCAACAACAACAACAACAACAUCGGGGAAUAUCCAUACGACUCCUAGCUUUUAUAGUGCGAUUUGCUGUAAAAAUCAGCAAGUUCUGAAGACUGGAGCGUAGUACUUGUAUACGUUAUGUGAAGCCUUUUUUGUAAUACUCCCGGCGCCUUUGGAGGCGCUGCGCUUUGAGUAUGAUGGCAGCAGUUUAUUCGUACCAACCAGUUAUUUUCCAAGCAAAGCCAUUGUGAUGGGCGCACGCAAAAUAUCCAGUAUACUUGUUCUGUCGCUGCUGUUUGCUGCUUUUGCUUACAACAUCGUAAAAGUAAAUUAAUGCAGCGCGAGGUCGCAUUUUCACGAAGUUGCACAAAUAAGCUCCCCGAUUGUAGCGACCUUUUCUUGCCGAUCAUCGCACAUGCUGCAUCGAAUAUCGCGUACCGUAUGUGACUUUUCCAUAAAUCAUACCCUGCGCUCCUGCGGCGCACGCAGAGAACGGAUACAACAAAGGACUCCCUUCCAACGGAACGAGCACCCCUUAAGCGCCUUCCUUUGGACUGCGAUGCCGACCGGUUGCGCCAGCAUGCACCCACCACGCCUGCUGUCCACCCACUGUCCUUGGGCGCCGCCCAUGUCGAUCUACCCGAUGAGUUUCCGUGCCUGGCCCAGUCGCCGUGCAUGCUCUGCAGACGCAGUCGCGCCUUUCCAUGGAUAUUCUGUCUGUGCCCAGCAACGUGGGCCCCGAGACGGUCUCGCCGAACAACCACAUCACGAUGGUCAGCGAUCCGCCGUACGGUCCACCUGAGACCUCCGUCAUUCUGCUGGGCUAUUUGACGGUUUUUGGCAGUAUCCUGGUGAUGAUGUCGCUCCGCGUCGACAAACAACUGAUGUAAAUACGGGUUGACCGGUUUAUUACGACCUUAAUCACAAGCCGACGGAUGCUCCGAACUGGUGCCCAAUGGUUCCAGGCGCUGCCGGAGGCGGCGGCAGCGGUGGAGUUCCAACGGCGGUGGAAGCGGCGCGGACGGGAGUGGUCCAGGUACUUCGGGCAGGGCUGCCGGUGGUGGCAGUUUGCGUGGUGGAGCCGGCAGUGCAGGUGGCGGAAGUGGGGCGGGCGGUGGUUCAACCGGGGGUGGUAGUGGAGAUGGCAGCUCAGGUUCAGAUGGAAAUGACAGUGAUAAGCAGGAAACCGGCUCAAAGGGCACCAUAGCAAGCGGCAAAUGGGCACUCUGUUAAUCCAGGAGUAACAACCAUCGCCACAUUUAUUAAAUUAUGCAGAAAUGUACACUUAAAGUGUCCGAAAUAUGAGACAUAUCCAAGUACUAAUGGAGUCAGUGGUUCCGGUGCCAGUAGAGUCAGUUUGAACUGCAAAAUGGCGGAUAUAUGGAGAUUGGAUGAACUGAUCCGUCUGAAUCAGCCUGGUGAGCGGUGUUGGCGAAAGAAUACACUAUGCAAUUUAACCUUUGAAGGACCAAAGCUGUUAAGGAAGGAGGUGUACGAUGCCGGUGCUAUUGGUGAUUAGCCGGAUGUGCGCGUGCGUCUUAUUGCGUGCCAGCCGGAAGCCGGCAACAGGAUGGCGCCAGUCGCGUGGAUUUCUGAUUCCAACCAUUCGGUAGGAUACCUAAUUGACAGCUGCUUAUCCGAGCGAGGUCAUGUUUGCAUAUUUCCGGAAGAGAACUGUGGUAUAAACGGCUGUCUACGCGCGCACCCGCUCUGGGGCGACUACUUGGUGUGAACUACCAGUCUGCUGCUGUCGACGGCUGUCGACUGGAAACGAAAGUUUGCAAUAUUUUUCUCCAUGCUGCAGCGAUCUAACAACUGCACAGUACACUGAUUUUUUUUAUUAGAAAAAAAGGAUCAUUAAAAACUACAAGAGUAAAUUCGGUAGUUAGUUAUUUCCGCACUUAUCACUGCAUUUUCAUCAGCUCUGUGUUGACACUCGACAGCCUCAUACCGAUACGAAGGCCUCCCAGCGUAGGAUGAUCGUCGCUGGCGCCAUCCAAAUAUUUUUCCGGAUAUUUCUCGGAACGCUGACGCGCAAGGACUUGGUGCACAUGCUGGAUAAUAGCCUGGGCUGAAUCCGGUUUCUGCAGAGCGAGGAAGUUCAUGACAGCGAAGGAGUCCGUCCAGAGAUAGCGCGGGAGCCCCGGGGUGGUUGCGCUGGCGACAGCGCCUGUACGCUGCACGUAGCUUUCCAUCAGUUGCAGCGCGAGAGAUUUGCUCAUUAUGGCGGUUAUGCGCGAUGAACAGGAGAAUAAAAUUUUAAAUAUACACAGGAAAAAUGAUGCAUUCAUGCACUAAAACUUAGCAGCCAGAACAAGGAUAAAACAGCGCAUUUUUCUCCCGAAAAAAUUUCACUAACCAAAAUAACUGGGAUUUUCCAGCGCUCUGAAUAGCCGCAUAAUUGUCACCGGAAGUGGUGGAUUGCGGCGAAGGUUCACACUUGUACGAA